AGAACCGGCCUAUAAAAGAACAAAACGGAUAAGGUUAGUGAGGUAAUUUUACUAUUCAAUUGUCCCAAAAAUUUAGCUAUAAAAGGGAAUAGUCUUAGGGAUAUUAGGAGUAGAUAGGAGGCAUUCUGAAAAAAUUUACAUAGAGUUGUAGUUAGUAAAUCAGCAAAAAAUCCCAAAGUUACUGAAAAUAAUAAAAAAAAGACAUGAAAGAGUGACAAAAUUAGUUACUAAUCCAAACUCUCCCUCAAACCUCACCACUCACCAUCAGUCUCGGUCUCACCCGAAUCAGACACCCUACUCCUGAAAUCAGUCAAACCUCAUCCUCACCCUUCAAUCCCACCCUUACCACUCUCGAGACCCAACACGACACUCGAUUAUAUUUAAAUCCACCAAAGUCCCCAACAUAAGUCUCACCAUUUCAUUCUAGGAGCACUCAUCAUCGCACUACCUCGCAAGGAAAAAGGAGUCACCCAUUAAUGUCCGUCCGAAACACUAACGCACAUAUCAAAUGUGGCAAGACCUCUGGUUGAUUAGACCACCAUCUUCUUUUUUCUAUUCAAAAUCCACCAAACCCCAGAUCCAGGAAGCCCAUCUCAUCUCCGAGAAAUCAACUGUCCUCCGUAGGCCCAAAGAUUUCCUGUCAAUAGUAACUAGGACGAAGAGAGACGGGAAUUAGAAAUCAGGUGUAGGUUUAAAACCGAGAAAAAUCAAAGGGAUAUAGAUAGAUUUACCUAAGCCUCUAAUGAUCGAGCUGCUGUUGGUAACGCACCAAGGAAAUCUUCCUGGGUUGUGGGCCUCAAGGGGGCGUCGAGAAGAGGUAAAACAUGAGUUAAGCAUCAGGGACAUACCGUUGCUAAGAAUGGGUCUGAUUAACUACUCCAAUGUCCUCGGCCUUGGAGAGUAAGAGUGGCUGAGCAUUGAACCCCAUGAACCGUCAAGAUCCGGAGAAGAAAAGGCAACGUCUCCUCUGGUCGAUCAAGUACUAAUCGGAGUAGUCCUUGGGGCCUUCGGAUUGAGGGCAGAGGGAGAUUUCCGAGGAGAAGUGGCGGUGACCUAGGUGUAGAUCGAGAUGAAGGAGAUAAGGUUUUGAGAUAGUGUCGAUGGUUGAGAAAUAGGGAGAGAGGAAGCAAAAUAACCCUAAGGGUUAUUGACUUAUCGAACGACAUUUGGGGCGAAUCUGUGUUUCGUCUAAUAAAUCACCA
rnacentral:lncRNA from 1 species